rnacentral:rRNA from 1 species
UACGUAGGGUGCGAGCGUUGUCCGGAAUUAUUGGGCGUAAAGAGCUCGUAGGCGGCUUGUCGCGUCGGAUGUGAAAGCCCGGGGCUUAACUCCGGGUCUGCAUUCGAUACGGGCAGGCUAGAGUUCGGUACGGGGAGAUGGAAUUCCUGGUGUAGCGGUGAAAUGCGCAGAUAUCAGGAGGAACACCGGUGGCGAAGGCGGGUCUCUGGGCCGAUACUGACGCUGAGGAGCGAAAGCGUGGGGAGCGAACAGG